GAGACUGCACAGAGGACAAUCUGAGGACUCGCUUUCAAGACUCCAUCUCAGGAAAACAUUUCUCUCGUCCUGACUGCAUCUUCUCACCUUCCGAAGCCGGGAUUGAGUUGGGAACUCCCCUGUCGCCCCGCACAUUGCAGGGGCUCCCCGAGCUCGAUUCUAUAGGGGGAGCGCUCUGGGGUCUCCGCACAAAACCUGCUUUUGAGCCCUUUGGCUUUCUUCAGGCGAGCGCAGUCCGUCCAUCCCCCUGGCCCACCCAGCCGCAAGGGAUGCUGUGAAAAGAGCCGCUGCUUGCCGCCUCCGGCCUGCCGUCCAGAGGGCUCCGCCCGUAGAGGUCAACUCCCCUCAUUCUUCUUCUUUCCAUCUUGCCCUCCCUCCGCCGAGCCCAGACUCGGAUCUCCUCCUGACUCCCGCCGCAGUCAGAGAGAGCGCAUCUGCUGCGCUGCCCUUAAAUCUACGCCCAGAGCGGGCUCAGACCCGAUCUCUGCUCUCCAGAGCCGGAGGAAGCCCGAGCAAGCAGCCUUUUCUCUUCGCAGUAAAAUCAUAGCCAGACCAGAUGGGCCCCAGCUCUCCCGGGACUCGGCAGGUGCUGUUGAGUUAAUUUUUCCGCAAUACAAAGAAGGAGGACCCAGCCGGCCUGGGAUUCUGAUCUUUUCCCAAAAUUUCCCAACCAAAAUCGGGCUAUCAAAGGCGUAUACGUGUGUUUGUCGGACAUACAAACAUGCAUGAUUAUAUUCGCUUUUUCUGCUAGAUCUCUGGCAACAGGGGAUGAGUGACAAAGGUUUCUGCAGCAGAACACUCAUGGCUUAUAUGGAGUAAAAUAAUGUAGAAUGCUGCAUCACCUCAGCGCCGUGAAUUUAGAAGUUCCAGCAUGUUGUGAAGCAGACACAUCUUUGCUAUGAACACUGUGACUCACUACAUCAGUGCUGGUAUAAUAAAAUGCUUCUAAUGAUGUAGCUGUUAAAUUUUCUAAAAUAAAGAUCAGUUUAUUUUGUGAUGGCACAAUGAAA
rnacentral:lncRNA from 1 species